GAUGAACGCUGGCGGCGUGCUUAACACAUGCAAGUCGAACGGAGUUUCUGGAAAUAUUUCGGUAUUGAAGGGGACUUAGUGGCAAACGGGUGAGUAACACGUAGACAACCAACCUCGAGGAGGGGGACAACACCGCGAAAGCGGUGCUAAUACCGCAUAAGAUACAGGCUGCGCAUGCAGCAGGUAUGAAAGAUGGCCUCUCGCAGAAGCUAUCACCUUGAGACGGGUCUGCGUCCGAUUAGCUAGAUGGUGGGGUAAAGGCUCACCAUGGCGAUGAUCGGUAGCCGGUCUGAGAGGAUGAACGGCCACACUGGGACUGAGACACGGCCCAGACUCCUACGGGAGGCAGCAGUGGGGAAUCUUCCGCAAUGGGCGAAAGCCUGACGGAGCAACGCCGCGUGAGUGAUGAAGGUUUUCGGAUUGUAAAGCUCUGUUAUCCGGGAAGAAAGGCUAUUCUGAAAAUAUUGGAAUAGAUUGACGGUACCGGAGGAGAAAGCCACGGCUAACUACGUGCCAGCCGCCGCGGUAA
rnacentral:rRNA from 1 species